rnacentral:rRNA from 1 species
CCUACGGGUGGCAGCAGUAGGGAAUAUUGCUCAAUGGGCGAAACCCUGAAGCAGCAACGCCGCGUGGAGGAUGAAGGUUUUAGGAUUGUAAACCCCUUUUGUUAGAGAAGAUAAUGACGGUAUGUAACGAAUAAGCACCGGCUAAAUCCGAGCCAGCAGCCGCGGUAAUACGGCGGGGGCAAGCGUUAGUCGGAAUCACUGGGCGUAAAGAGUGCGUAGGCGGGGUAAUAAGUCAGAUGUGAAAGCCUGUAGCUUAACUUCAGAACUGCAUUUGAAACUGUUACUCUGGAGUGUGGGAGAGGUAGGUGGAAUUCUUGGUGUAGGGGUGAAAUGCGUAGAGAUCAAGAAGAACACUCAUUGCGAAGGCGACCUGCUGGAACAUUACUGACGCUGAUGCACGAAAGCGUGGGGAGCAAACAGGAUUAGAUACCCGAGUAGUC